rnacentral:rRNA from 1 species
GGGGAAUUUUCCGCAAUGGGCGACAGCCUGACGGAGCAAUGCCGCGUGAAGGAUGAAGGCCUAUGGGUUGUAAACUUCUUUUCUCAGAGAAGAAGCAUUGACGGUAUCUGAGGAAUAAGCAUCGGCUAACUCUGUGCCAGCAGCCGCGGUAAGACAGAGGAUGCAAGCGUUAUCCGGAAUGAUUGGGCGUAAAGCGUCUGUAGGUGGCUUAAAAAGUCUCCUGUCAAAGAUCAGGGCUUAACCCUGGGCCGGCAGGAGAAACUCUUAGGCUAGAGUUGGUAGGGGCAGAGGGAAUUCCCGGUGGAGCGGUGAAAUGCGUAGAGAUCGGGAGGAACACCAAAGGCGAAAGCACUCUGCUGGGCCAUAACUGACACUGAGAGACGAAAGCGAGGGGAGCAAAAGGGAUUAGAUACCCCUGUAGU